rnacentral:rRNA from 1 species
CGGGAGGCAGCAGUGGGGAAUAUUGCACAAUGGGCGCAAGCCUGAUGCAGCCAUGCCGCGUGUAUGAAGAAGGCCUUCGGGUUGUAAAGUACUUUCAGCGGGGAGGAAGGCGUUGUGGUUAAUAACCGCAGCGAUUGACGUUACCCGCAGAAGAAGCACCGGCUAACUCCGUGCCAGCAGCCGCGGUAAUACGGAGGGUGCAAGCGUUAAUCGGAAUUACUGGGCGUAAAGCGCACGCAGGCGGUCUGUUAAGUC